GCCACCAUAGCUCAGUCGGUAGAGCAGCCGCCUUGUAAGCGGCAGGUCGGGAGUUCAAUUCUCCCUGGUGGCU
rfam:Euryarchaeota archaeon RBG_16_68_13 RBG_16_scaffold_5297, whole genome shotgun sequence.